CUUCAGUACAUGAUGGGCUCUUCUAAGCGUUCCUAUCGUUCGAAACAACACCCCUGAUUUAAUACUCAAUCAUAGUUAUACUCAGCAGCAGGAUGCUGAUGGUUACGAGACGCCUGUAUCGUCGUCUGCUAGUAACACAGAGACAGAUAAAUGCCGGACGUUCACUGGACAGCAUUAACAACAUCUACGAAGAAAUUCGAUCAUCCAAACUGUCCGACAUCAGUCUUGUUUAGAUAUAAAUCCCUUGAAACCAAUCAGCAUAUAACAAUUUGACAGCAACUUAUAUAAAUUUUGAAUUUAAGUAUACCUAACUUAGCAUACGGAACUUGCCAUUUUAAAAUGAAAUACAUGUUGUUGUGCGCAAUUUGGAUAAAUCUUUUAACCGCGACAAUGGAUGUUUAUGUACAUGUUUUUACUGCCAAAGAUAUUAUGAUGUUAUAUUACAUACUUUUGCCUAAUGUUCAUGCUUUUGUUUUGUAUAGUUAAUGAUUUUAUUCAGUCAUUAACGUGUUCACAAUGCGGGGAAUUUCCCUUUUGCAAUCAAAAUUCUAGUCAUUAAACUUUUAUUCGUC
rnacentral:misc_RNA from 1 species